GGGUUGUGAGGUUAAGCGAAUAAGCGUACACGGUGGAUGCCUAGGCAAUCAGAGGCGAUGAAGGACGUGCUAAUCUGCGAAAAGCG
rnacentral:rRNA from 1 species